rnacentral:rRNA from 1 species
UACGUAGGGUGCGAGCGUUGUCCGGAAUUAUUGGGCGUAAAGAGCUUGUAGGCGGUUUGUCGCGUCUGCUGUGAAAAUCCGGGGCUCAACCCCGGACUUGCAGUGGGUACGGGCAGACUAGAGUGUGGUAGGGGAGUCUGGAAUUCCUGGUGUAGCGGUGAAAUGCGCAGAUAUCAGGAGGAACACCGAUGGCGAAGGCAGGUCACUGGGCCGCAACUGACGCUGAGGAGCGAAAGCAUGGGGAGCGAACAGG